AGCUCAACAGGUUACUUGCCUCCAGCACCCAAACACCCAGCUCCCAAUGAGAUCCAAACCCCAAAUAAAUCCAUUUUACUGUGUAUAAAGCUUAUAAAGGGCAAACUCAUAAAGUGUCUGCCCUCUAACACUGAUCAAGAGAUAUGCACAGCUGUUUGCUCCCCCAGGUAUUAAUCACUUACUCUGGGUUCAUUAAUAAACAACAGUGAUUUUAU